GACAGAGGUUGCAAACGUUGUUCGGAAUCACUGGGCAUAAAGCGCACGUAGGCGGUCUGUUAAGUCAGGUGUGAAAGCCCCCGGCUCAACCGGGGAACAGCAUUUGAUACUGGCAGACUCGAGGAUGGUAGGGGUGAGUGGAACUCCAGGUGGAGCGGUGAAAUGCGUAGAUAUCUGGAGGAACACCGGUGGCGAAAGCGGCUCACUGGACCAUAACUGACGCUGAGGUGCGAAAGCGUGGGGAGCAAACAGG
rnacentral:rRNA from 1 species